rnacentral:rRNA from 1 species
UACGUAGGAUGCAAGCGUUGUUCGGAUUUACUGGGCGUAAAGGGCGCGUAGGCGGCCUGUGCAAGUCAGUUGUGAAAUCUCCGAGCUUAACUCGGAACGGUCAACUGAUACUGCUCGGCUAGAGUGCGGAAGGGGCAACUGGAAUUCUCGGUGUAGCGGUGAAAUGCGUAGAUAUCGAGAGGAACACCUGCGGCGAAGGCGGGUUGCUGGGCUGACACUGACGCUGAUGCGCGAAAGCCAGGGGAGCGAACGGG